AAUUCUCUGCAGAAGACAGAACUGUAUUCUAGAAGAAGAUGAGACUGCUGGGUCUCUUCCUGUGCUUGGUGACAGUCCCCCAGGGUGUCCUGUCCCAGGUGCAGCUGCAGGAAUCGGGCCCAGGACUGGUGAAGCCCUCACAGACCCUCUCCCUCACCUGCACUGUCUCUGGAUUCUCUUUAAGUGGCAAUGGGGUGCACUGGACCCGCCAAUCUCCAGGGAAGGGGCUGGAGUGGGUCGGUGCUGUAUGGAGUGAUGGAAGUACAAACUACAACCCAGGGCUGAAGUCCCGACUCAGCAUCACCAAGGACAACUCCAAGAACCAAGUCUAUUUGACACUGAACAGCCUGAGAGCAGAGGACACGGCCAUGUAUUACUGUGCAAGAGACCACAGUGAAAGGAAGUCAGUAUUGGCCCUUCACAUGAAAUGGGCCAUGGAGGCUAUGGAAGUGGUAGCAGUGGUGGUGGUGGCCAGGGAGGAUUCCCCAGUGGAGGUGGUGGUGGUGGCAGACAGCAGCGAGCUGGGGACUGGAAGGGCCAUAAUCCUACAUGAUUAUUUGGAUACUUUACCAAACACUGACUUUAGCAGCAGACGUCUUGACACUUCAAGUUGA